rnacentral:lncRNA from 1 species
UCCCACCUUCUCUCCCUCUGUGCUACCGGCUCGGAAGGACCAGAUUGCAGCCCAAACCUGCCCAAGACAAACUGGUUUGGUUUGCACCUAUUUUCAAUUAGGUCCUUGUCUUACCAAGUUUUGUGUAAGGCACCCUACAAUCCAUAGACUGCUGCAUUAUUAUGUAUUUCUACAUCCCAAAAUCUUUUCUCAAAUGUGAACCGAGCGUAACCCACAUGGUUACCAAUCUAUCAAGGUUCAACAUAAGAUGUUGUGUCGGCUUAAUAUCUUUGAAAUGCUCAUAUAACUAGAGUAUGAGUGUGUGUACGUGUGUUGUGUGUACAUGAGCAUUUACGAUUUUAUUGUAGUUUAUCUCACAAAGUGACUAGUUGGUGUACUUGGUACGAG